UUUGAGAUAGUUCAGUCAGGUUAGAACAAUAGAUUUCGAAAGUGUAGGUUCGAAUCCUACUCACGCAA
rnacentral:tRNA from 1 species